AGUAACGAGGCUAGAUUAUGUACCCUGGUAGAGUUUGCAUCAUGGCUCGGUGGCGGAUUGAAUACCCGUGGUACGGUUGAGUAAUGUCUGGGAAACUGCCUGAUGGAGGGGGAUAACUACUGGAAACGGUAGCUAAUACCGCAUAACGUCUUCGGACCAAAGAGGGGGACCUUCGGGCCUCUUGCCAUCGGAUGUGCCCAGAUGGGAUUAGCUAGUAGGUGGGGUAACGGCUCACCUAGGCGACGAUCCCUAGCUGGUCUGAGAGGAUGACCAGCCACACUGGAACUGAGACACGGUCCAGACUCCUACGGGAGGCAGCAGUGGGGAAUAUUGCACAAUGGGCGCAAGCCUGAUGCAGCCAUGCCGCGUGUAUGAAGAAGGCCUUCGGGUUGUAAAGUACUUUCAGCGGGGAGGAAGGGAGUGAGGUUAAUAACCUCAUUCAUUGACGUUACCCGCAGAAGAAGCACCGGCUAACUCCGUGCCAGCAGCCGCGGUAAUACGGAGGGUGCAAGCGUUAAUCGGAAUUACUGGGCGUAAAGCGCACGCAGGCGGUCUGUCAAGUCGGAUGUGAAAUCCCCGGGCUCAACCCGGGAACUGCAUUCGAAACUGGCAGACUCGAGUCUUGUAGAGGGGGGUAGAAUUCCAGGUGUAGCGGUGAAAUGCGUAGAGAUCUGGAGGAAUACCGGUGGCGAAGGCGGCCCCCUGGACAAAGACUGACGCUCAGGUGCGAAAGCGUGGGGAGCAAACAGGAUUA
rnacentral:rRNA from 1 species